CGAACGCUGGCGGCGUGCUUAACACAUGCAAGUCGAACGGAAAGGCCCUGCUUUUGUGGGGUGCUCGAGUGGCGAACGGGUGAGUAACACGUGAGUAACCUGCCCUUGACUUUGGGAUAACUUCAGGAAACUGGGGCUAAUACCGGAUAGGAGCUCCUGCUGCAUGGUGGGGGUUGGAAAGUUUCGGCGGUUGGGGAUGGACUCGCGGCUUAUCAGCUUGUUGGUGGGGUAGUGGCUUACCAAGGCUUUGACGGGUAGCCGGCCUGAGAGGGUGACCGGCCACAUUGGGACCGAGAUACGGCCCAGACUCCUACAGGAGGCAGCAGUGGGGAAUAUUGCACAAUGGGCGGAAGCCUGAUGCAGCAACGCCGCGUGCGGGAUGACGGCCUUCGGGUUGUAAACCGCUUUCGCCUGUGACGAAGCGUGAGUGACGGUAAUGGGUAAAGAAGCACCGGCUAACUACGUG
rnacentral:rRNA from 1 species